UGGAAGCAUUGUGAUUGGUCUCAUUUUUAUGACGAACACUGUUCGUAAUCUUCAAAUUUCUCUCCAGAUUCCAAUGUUUAACUUACGUAAGCAAAUCAGUAACAGACACCCUUGAACAAUAUAUUUAAUUUGUACCAAAUCGCUGCUGAACAAACUGGUAUAUUAUGUAAAAAAGAACAUUCUAAAAACAUGUACAAAAACAUGUUCGUGCUUAUUCCACACACUUUGACAGUGAUGUCAUAUGUAUUUUUCACCAUUUUAUUAAAAUAUGCAAUUGGAGGAAAUUUGACAAUAAGUUCACAAGGUGAAUAAAAAAUAUUAUGGCAACACUGGCAGCUGGCCAUUCAUGGUUUGACAGUUGCUCGAGAAUGAAUAAUUAGUUUCAAGUGUUUGUGCGCGUAUGAAAUUGAUACAUUUUAUCAAAAUGUUUGCGGUAGCACAAACCCGAAAGGGGAAAACAUCCAAACCGGAACUGACGGUUGUACCGGAAACAUGGGUAGGCGAUAAAUGUGUUUUCUGGCCUUCGAAAUCCCUGGUGUCCCUAUCACGGGAUCCUAAAACAAAACCAGGACCAACCUGGACUACAACAAAAGCGAAGAUUGUUGGAACAGCCAAUAACUUCGUCGAAGCAGAAAACGUACUAGCUGAGCUUCAAAAAAUUACCGAUUCCGAGGAUGCUGGAGGUGUUGGAACCCGAGCUAAUCCAGUAAAAAAAGAGGGAAGUUCUCUAGUAACACAUACCAACUAAAGGAACAGAAGUCGCUCCCUUGCCCCGUGUUUGCCGUUCCAACGGUGGAACUUAUACAACCCACGAACCGUUCUGUUACUCCGGAAAACUUCGAAUUGAGCUCGAAAACCUUGGGCCCAUUGAUGACUAACGAAAACCCGGAUGACUCAGUUCAAUCUCAAAUAAAGUCGGUGGAGGUACAGAUCGCCAGUAGUGGAAGUAAUAUGCAAUAUUUACAGCUGGAAAAUGGAAAUUUAGUACCUUUUAUUUGCGAAACUAAUUCAACGGACGACGUAGCGGAUGACGCUCCAAUAAAUGCGAAUAUUUGUGACAAUAAUUGCUGUGGAAAUGCGAGUGUUUUAAAUCGGCUUGACAGUAUGGAGAGUGAAAUCAAAGCGAUUAAGGGCCUUACUUUGCAGGUACUGGAUUUUAUGGCUAACGUUGAUAAAUUUAUGGCAAAGAAAAAUGAUGUCAUAAAGAGACCUGAGGAAAAUUUUGCAGGAUGCAAGGAAAUCUAUGCAUACAAACAAGGGAGGAUUUGCAAAAACUAGAAGAAAAGCUGCGCGAUACCCUUUUUGAAAACCGUAUGCUUCAGUAUUGCAAAUCCUUAUACAAUCUAACCGGAAAGCGUGAAGGGAUGCCGUUUUUCAAGACUUUUAUAAGAAAAGUUAUGUCGCCCACUGUUCUACAACCGUUUUCCUGGUUAGGGAAUCCGCGUCUUGUCAAACAUGCCGAUGGAAGUCAUAGUGGCCACAAUGAAAGCUUUAAGAGCAGUUUCCCCAACUUUGUGCAUUUUGUUUUUCUGGUAGUGCGAGCAGCAGAUUUUGAAUUUACCGAAGAGAGCAAUAAUAAAUGUUUCUCAAAUUUUCUGCGAACAAAAAAUACAGAAAUUAAGAGAUUCGAAUCAGGCAAAGGUAAUCGUGCAGCGUAUACAAGAAAGCGCAAAUGUUUUAAACAUGUUGAAGUGGGUCAAAAUAUACUGGCCAAGAAUCAAAUGAAGGCAAGCGUUACUAACAAUAUAAAAAUGGAACAAAACGAGUUGGAGAUUGAUUUGGUAGUAAGUGGAGAUUAUGAAGUUGAGGACAUUGGAAAAGAGGAUGACAACGCUAUUAGUUUCGAGUCAGAAUCGGAAACGGCUUUAGAAUAGCAGCAAGUUGACAUGUUUCGUUUAUUUUUCUUAAAUUCUCUAACACUUUUUAUUAUACCUAUUCUUUUUAUUGCUGAACGCAUUUGUUAACUGUAGAUGUUUUACAGCUGGAA